AGUACUAAUUGGAGGACCGAACCCAAUACUGUUGCAAAAGUAUGGGAUGAGCUGUGGAUCGGAGUGAAAGGCUAAUCAAGCACGGAGAUAGCUGGUUCUCCCCGAAAACUAUUUAGGUAGUGCCUCGUGUAUAACUCAUUGGGGUAAAGCACUGUUUCGACAAUGGGGGUUUUACGACCUUACUGACUCGAUGCAAACUCAGAAUACGAUGAAGUUCGAUCACGGGAGACACACUGCGGGUGCUAAGGUCCGCAGUGGAAAGGGAAACAGCCCAGACCGCCAACUAAGGUCCCAAAGUCAUAGCUAAGUGGGAAACGAAGUGGGAAGGCCCAGACAGCCAGGAGGUUGGCUUAGAAGCAGCCACCCUUUAAAGAAAGCGUAAUAGCUCACUGGUCGAGUCGGCCUGCACGUAAGAUUUAACGGGGCUAAGCUAUGCACUGAAGUUGCGGAAUAUAUUUAGUAUAUUGGUAGGGGAGCGUUCUGUAAGCCGAUGAAGGUGAAUUGAGAAGUUUGCUGGAGGUAUCAGAAGUGCGAAUGCUGACAUGAGUAACGUAAAAUAAGUGAGAUUCUUAUUGGCCGAAAACCCAAGGGUUCCUACGCAAUGUUAAUCAACGUAGGGUAAGCCGGCCCCUAAGGCGUGGAAAGGGAAACAGCCCAGACCGCCAACUAAGGUCCCAAAGUCAUAGCUAAGUGGGAAACGAAGUGGGAAGGCCCAGACAGCCAGGAGGUUGGCUUAGAAGCAGCCACCCUUUAAAGAAAGCGUAAUAGCUCACUGGUCGAGUCGGCCUGCACGUAAGAUUUAACGGGGCUAAGCUAUGCACUGAAGUUGCGGAAUAUAUUUAGUAUAUUGGUAGGGGAGCGUUCUGUAAGCCGAUGAAGGUGAAUUGAGAAGUUUGCUGGAGGUAUCAGAAGUGCGAAUGCUGACAUGAGUAACGUAAAAUAAGUGAGAUUCUUAUUGGCCGAAAACCCAAGGGUUCCUACGCAAUGUUAAUCAACGUAGGGUAAGCCGGCCCCUAAGGCGUAGCUGAAGAGUGAAGUCGAUGGGAAACAGGUUAAUAUUCCUGUGCUGCUUAUAUGAACGAAGGAGGGACGGAGAAGGUUAGGUAGGCCUGGCGAAUGGUUGUCCAGGUGAAAGUAUGUAGGUAGGAAUGCUAGGCAAAUCCGGUGUUCUGUUGAUCUGAGAUACGAGACGAAGUUAAACUUGUUUGACGAAGCUAUUGAUACCAUGCUUCCAGGAAAAGCUUCUAAGUAUAUUGUAUAAGUGACCGUACUGUAAACCGACACUGGUGGGUAGGUAGAGAAUACUAAGGCUAUGAGAUAACUCUGGUGAAGGAACUAGGCAAAAUGACACCGUAACUUUGGAAGAAGGUGUGCCCUUGAUGGUGAUGAGACUUGCUCUUUGAGCUGUUGGGGGUUGCAGAUACCAGGUGGCUGCGACUGUUUAUCAAAAACACAGCACUCUGCGAAAUCGUAAGAUGAAGUAUAGGGUGUGACGCCUGCCCGGUGCUGGAAGGUUAAUUGAAGGGGUUAGCGCAAGCGAAGCUCUGGAUCGAAGCCCCAGUAAACGGCGGCCGUAACUAUAACGGUCCUAAGGUAGCGAAAUUCCUUGUCGGGUAAGUUCCGACCUGCACGAAUGGCGUAACGAUGGCCACACUGUCUCCACCAGAGACUCAGUGAAAUUGAAAUCGCUGUGAAGAUGCAGUGUACCCGCGGUUAGACGGAAAGACCCCGUGAACCUUUACUAUAGCUUUGCACUGGACUUUGAAUAUUUAUGUGUAGGAUAGGUGGGAGACCAUGAAGCAGCUACGCCAGUAGUUGUGGAGUCGUCCUUGAAAUACCACCCUUGAAUAUUUGAAGUUCUAACUCAGGAGAGAUUCGAGGACAGUGUAUGGUGGGUAGUUUGACUGGGGCGGUCUCCUCCUAAAGAGUAACGGAGGAGUACGAAGGUGCACUCGGUACGGUCGGAAAUCGUGCCAAGAGUAUAAAGGCAAAAGUGCGCUUGACUGCGAGAGUGACGGCUCGAGCAGGUACGAAAGUAGGUCUUAGUGAUCCGGUGGUCCCGAAUGGAAGGGUCAUCGCUCAACGGAUAAAAGGUACUCCGGGGAUAACAGGCUAAUUCCUCCCAAGAGUUCAUAUCGACGGAGGAGUUUGGCACCUCGAUGUCGGCUCAUCACAUCCUGGGGCUGAAGUAGGUCCCAAGGGUAUGGCUGUUCGCCAUUUAAAGUGGUACGCGAGCUGGGUUCAGAACGUCGUGAGACAGUUCGGUCCCUAUCUGCCGUGGGCGUUAGAGAUUUGAGAAGAGUUGCUCCUAGUACGAGAGGACCGGAGUGAACGAACCACUGGCGUUCCGGUUGUUUCGCCAGAAGCAUUGCCGGGUAGCUACGUUUGGACGGGAUAAACGCUGAAAGCAUCUAAGCGUGAAGCCUCCUUCAAGAUUAGAUCUCUCUGAUGAAAAUCAGUAAGGAACGUUGGAGACUACGACGUUGAUAGGCUGGGUGUGGAAGUACAGCAAUGUAUGAAGCUUACCAGUACUAAUGAUCCGAGAGACUUAAGUCUAU
rnacentral:rRNA from 1 species